rnacentral:rRNA from 1 species
GUGAGGAAUUUUCCGCAAUGGGCGAAAGCCUGACGGAGCAAUGCCGCGUGAAGGAUGAAGGCCUAUGGGUUGUAAACUUCUUUUCUCAGAAAAGAAUUAUGACGGUAUCUGAGGAAUAAGCAUCGGCUAACUCUGUGCCAGCAGCCGCGGUAAGACAGAGGAUGCAAGCGUUAUCCGGAAUGAUUGGGCGUAAAGCGUCUGUAGGUUGUUUAAAAAGUAUUCUGUCAAAGAUUAGGGCUUAACCCUAGAUAGGCAGAAUAAAAUUGUAAGCUAGAGUUUGGUAGGGGCGGAGGGAAUUCCCGGUGGAGCGGUGAAAUGCGUAGAUAUCGGGAGGAACACCAAAGGCGAAGGCACUCUGCUGGGCCAAUACUAACACUGAGAGACGAAAGCGAGGGGAGCAAAUGGGAUUAGAUACCCGAGUAGUCC